UUAUUUAUCUAAUUUUGCACUGGAUUACGAGGACUGAGCUCCUCCUCUGACGGUAAUUAAACAAAUGUACCUCCUGCUCCAUUUCCCAUCUCCCAAAUCCCUAUUGCUCUGUUGUAUGCUCGGCGUUCAAUCUUGGAUUUCCUGGUUCAUGGAAAUCUUGUGAUUCCUGAAACUUGUGUACGUGCAUGGUGGAGUCCUCUGCUAAUCUAGGUGUCCAUCAGAUAAGUAGUGUGCAGUAAAGCCAUCAGGUGUGUUGCAAGAUCCAUGUAGUCAUGUGCAUGUUUCUGAUGUGUAAAGCUGAGGCCAGAGGAAGGAAGCAAACUGAAAAUUAACUUUGUGAAUUCACUAGCUAGAUUAUACUUUCUCCCAAAUUAUACAUUGGACAAGCAUUGCCAUGUAGCUAGCAAGUGUAUCUAACUGCUAAUUGCUUGUACUAGCAAGUGUAGCAAGUUAGGAAUUUUGAUUUUAUUUGUGUAAUAUUUAUUUUUCUAAGGUGGUCAGAUGCGUAAUGAAGAGCAUAUGGAAAUAUAAUAUUUUCUUUUUGGGUGAAGGAGUUGUUGUCUUUCAUCUUCAGGUAAAAUAUACCGUGUGCAAAAUGAUCAUUCAUAAACCACGUGACCACUGUGCUGGUAUUAGCAGUACCUGGGUCAAUAAUUGAUUAACAUAAUCAUCUGCCUGGUUGCCUUGGCAUUGAGUGCGAUGGGGAUGCUAUGACAGUGAGAAGGUGCUCUCUAACUAAAACUCCCAUUGCGUUUAAUAUAUUAUUUUAUCUUUAUUGUCUCACUUUGUUGGUUUCUUGAUGAAUUACAGUUUACUUGGUAAUAAUGCUGGUAAUAUGUUCUCUGCUUAUUACUGGUUGCUGUAGCCUCUAGCCUGGAAUUAUAUUUUGGAGUACAUAUCCAUACAUCUAUAUGCUAUUAGUAUUUAUAUAUCUACAUUGGUAAACUGCAGAUGAAAAAUGCUUAGCUCCUAAAAGUUUUUAGUAUUUUUCAAAUUAAUGUUUUGCUUGAAAUUAGAAUAUGUUCCUCCUGUCUAUUGUAAUUAAGACACUCAAGCAAAGUGCUACAACCUUCUGUUCCAUGAAGACACCAUAAUUUCUGUUCGCUAGGAAUUAAUUAUUUCUUUUUGUUAUCAUGAUAAGUCAUUCACUCUUUAGUUUCCCAGUUAUUCUUCAGUUUCCCAGUCUCCCAAGCAUGAAAACAAAUGGGUGGAUAACCUUUUUUAUAAAAUAGUAUAUCUUAGAGCUAGGAAAAUAAACCAUUGCCUAACAGAUUUCUUUCUUGAUCAGUAUGUGCUUAGAAUUUCAGAUUAUUGUAGACAUCUUAGUAACUGUUUUCUUUUGUUCAAUAUAGCUAUCUGAAUUCUCAAUUUUGAUUUGGUUCCCGCUUUUCUGUAAUUGUAUCAAGCGCCUUUACCCAAAGAACAUUAAAAAAGUCCUACCAUUUCCGUUCUCAUGUGCUUGGAUAACAUGGAGGCAGUGUGUCGGUGCAAAUGUGUGAGUUUCUUGCUUAAUUCGUGAGCCGGUAUCUUUUAAGAAUCACCCUAACUAGCUUGUAAUAGUGAGCAACUUGAUGAAAGAUAUCAAAUAUGCUCUUAAAUAGGAAUCUAGCUGGAGAGUUUCUUGCUUAGAAGUGCUCUGCUGGUGAACCAGAAACAAUAUGCAUAGUUAGUGAUGCUAUUUGUGAAAUGCAAUUAGAUAAAGCUCAGUUCAAACUUUACCUAAUUUUGUUAGGUAUCAUUUGACUAAUUGAAACUGAAGCCAUAUUAUUUAGUUGUGUGAGGCCUCCAAAUCGCAUAUAGCUAAGGCUUGAAUUGGUAUAACUUUAGUUCAAUGUAAUCAUAGAGCUGGGUAUAUGAUUUUCAAAUAUACCACUGGUUUGCAAAUCAAUUUUGUAGGCCUAUUUUUCUUGUCAUGUAGUUCAGGGACAACCCGGUUGGCUCACACGCUCUAUCUCCGUAACAAAAUUUGCCUAUCUCACAAAGACCAGCAAACUGAACAAGUGCUAGAAUUUGAGGAAGCAAAGAAGCAACAAAAUAGCUUUAUAAUUCAUAUUGUAAACUAAAGCUCUAUUCGAAUUGUAUGCAAAGAAGCGAACAGAGGAAAAGCAUGUGUACUCUGCUGCUCCGAUUGCUAGCUCGAUGAGUUUAUCUGAAGAUAUUGGGGAAGAUGUGGUCUCUAUCCUUCAGGAUGAUGUUGCAGGCAAUGGGGUUGAUAGGGAGCUUCGAGCACCAAUAUGUUGUAUCCUUGGGCACGUGGAUGCUGGAAAGACAAAGCUGCUUGAUUGCAUCCGGCGAAGCAAUGUUCAGGGUGGAGAGGCUGGGGGAAUCACUCAGCAGAUUGGUGCCACCUACUUACCAAUUGAGAAUAUCAGGGAGAGGUCCUCCCUGAAAGCUGAUGUCACCAUCAAAGUUCCUGGUUUGCUUGUAAUUGACACCCCUGGCCACCAGUCUACCCAUACUAUUACUAUCUUCCUAUAGUUCAGAAAAUUGCAUAAGCAUUUGGUCAUGUUAUGGAAGUGGUAAAUCCUGCUUGGAAUAAGGAUGUAUAUGAUUGGCCUCAAAUAUAUACCCAGGAGUCGUACCAAAAACAUUUGACUGUAAUUUGACGGGGUUUAUUGCUGCCAAUCUCAUGGACAUGUGGGAUGGUAAACAAUUUCAUCAAUUGUUGUGUGUGGAUGCGAGAGUUCUAAGGAAGUGGUUGGUCAUAGAUCUACUGAAGUGGUUAUGAAACGAGGUCCAAGAUAACAUUUUUGAAGAUAUAGCUCGAGCUAUAAAGACCAUAUGUAACACCUGCAUGGAGAAAUAUAUCUAGAUAAAUUAAUCGCAUACCAUGGCUGAAACGAGGUCCAAGAUAACAUUUUUGAAGAUAUAGCUCGAGCUAUAAAGACCAUAUGUAACACCUGCAUGGAGAAAUAUAUCUAGAUAAAUUAAUCGCAUACCAUGGCUGAUCUGAGCAAGAAAUAUGGAUGGAUCUUGCUACAUUUUUUAAGUCUUGCAUGCUGGUGUUGGCCAUAUUUUAAAUUAUCAUAUCAAUCAAUAAUCAACAUUAAUGGAUUGAGACAAGUUCUUAUGUUACAUUAUUAUUGUUAUUAAUUAUUAAUUUUAUUUUGUUUACUUGA